UACGAAGGGGGCUAGCGUUGUUCGAAAUUACUGGGCGUAAAGCGCACGUAGGCGGAUCCUUAAGUCAGGGGUGAAAUCCCGAGGCUCAACCUCGGAACUGCCUUUGAUACUGGGGAUAUCGAGUCCGGGAGAGGUGAGUGGAACUGCGAGUGUAGAGGUGAAAUUCGUAGAUAUUCGCAAGAACACCAGUGGCGAAGGCGGCUCACUGGCCCGGUACUGACGCUGAGGCACGAAAGCGUGGGGAGCAAACAGG
rnacentral:rRNA from 1 species